rnacentral:rRNA from 1 species
UACGUAGGCAGCAAGCGUUGUUCGGAAUUACUGGGCGUAAAGAGUGUGUAGGCGGUGCUCUAAGUUCGGUGUGAAAUCUCCCGGCUCAACUGGGAGGGUGCGCCGGAAACUGGGGUGCUGGAGCGCGGGAGAGGAAAGCGGAAUUCCGGGUGUAGCGGUGAAAUGCGUAGAGAUCCGGAGGAACACCAGUGGCGCAGGCGGCUUCUGGACAGAUACCGACGCUGAGGCACGAAGCUAGGGGAGCAAACAGGA